AGCGAACGCUGGCGGCAGGCCUAACACAUGCAAGUCGAACGGAUCCUUCGGGAUUAGUGGCGGACGGGUGAGUAACACGUGGGAACGUGCCCUUUGGUUCGGAACAACUCAGGGAAACUUGAGCUAAUACCGGAUGUGCCCUUCGGGGGAAAGAUUUAUCGCCAUUAGAGCGGCCCGCGUUAGAUUAGCUAGUUGGUGGGGUAAAGGCCCACCAAGGCUACGAUCUAUAGCUGGUCUGAGAGGAUGAUCAGCCACACUGGGACUGAGACACGGCCCAGACUCCUACGGGAGGCAGCAGUGGGGAAUCUUGCGCAAUGGGCGAAAGCCUGACGCAGCCAUGCCGCGUGAAUGAUGAAGGUCUUAGGAUUGUAAAAUUCUUUCAGUAGGGACGAUAAUGACGGUACCCGGAGAAGAAGCCCCGGCUAACUUCGUGCCAGCCGCCGCUGUAAGAC
rnacentral:rRNA from 1 species